rnacentral:rRNA from 1 species
AACGAACGCUGGCGGCAUGCCUAACACAUGCAAGUCGAACGAGACCUUCGGGUCUGGUGGCGCACGGGUGCGUAACGCGUGGGAACCUGCCCUUAGGUUCGGAAUAACUCCCCUUAAGGGGUGCUAAUACCGGAUAAUGUCUUCGGACCAAAGAUUUGUCGCCUUUGUAUGGGCCCGCGUUGGUUUAGCUAGUUGGUAGGGUAAAAGCCUACCAAGGCGACGAUACAUAGCUGGUCUGAGAGGAUGAUCCGCCACACUGGGACUGAGACACGGCGCAGACUCCUACGGGAGGGAGCAGUGGGGAAUAUUGGACAAUGGGCGAAAGCCUGAUCCAGCAAUGCCGCGUGAGUGAUGAAGGCCUUAGGGUAGUACAGCUCUUUUACCCGGCAUGAUAAUGACAGUACCGGGAGAAUAAGCUCCGGCUAACUCCGUG